CGAGAUAACUCUCUCUAAGGAACUCGGCAAAAUGACUCCGUAACUUCGGGAGAAGGAGUGCCUUAUUUAUAAGGUUGCAAUAACAAGAUCCAAGCAACUGUUUACCAAAAACACAGGUCUCCGCUAAGUCGUAAGACGAUGUAUGGGGGCUGACGCCUGCCCAGUGCCAGAAGGUUAAAGAAGUUGGUUAGCAUUCGCGAAGCUGAUAACUGAAGCCCUGGUGAACGGCGGCCGUAACCAUAACGGUCCUAAGGUAGCGAAAUUCCUUGUCGGGUAAGUUCCGACCCGCACGAAAGGCGUAAUGAUUUGGAUACUGUCUCGGAGAGGGGCUCGGUGAAAUAGACUUGUCUGUGAAGAUGCGGACUACCUGCACCUGGACAGAAAGACCCUAUGAAGCUUUACUGUAACUUGAAAUUGAAAUUGGACUUUAUUUGCGCAGUAUAGGUGGGAGGCGUUGAGUUAAUUCUUGCGGGAAUUUAGGAGCCAUCAGUGAGAUACCACUCUGGUAAUGUUAGAUUUCUAACUUUGUAUCAUAAUCUGGUCAAAGAACAGUUUCAGGCGGGCAGUUUGACUGGGGCGGUCGCCUCCCAAAUGGUAACGGAGGCGUACAAAGGUUUCCUCUGAACGUGUAGAAAUCGUAUCUAGAGUGUAAAGGCAUAAGGAAGCUUGACUGUGAGACUUACAAGUCGAGCAGGGACGAAAGUCGGUCUUAGUGAUCUGACGGUGCUGAGUGGAAAGGCCGUCACUCAACGGAUAAAAGUUACUCUAGGACAACAGGCUGAUCUCCCCCAAGAGUUCACAUCGACGGGGAGGUUUGGCACCUCGAUGUCGGCUCAUCGCAUCCUGGGGCGGUAGUACGUCCCAAGGGUUGGGCUGUUCGCCCAUGAAAGCGGUACGCGAGCUGGGUUCAGAACGUCGUGAGACAGUUCGGUCCAUAUCCGGUGUAGGCGUUAGAAUAUUGAGAGGAGCCUUCUUUAGUACGAGAGGACCGAGAAGGACAUACCUCUGGUGUACCAGUUAUCAUGCCAAUGGUAAACGCUGGGUAGCUAUGUAUGGAGAGGAUAACCGCUGAAAGCAUCUAAGUGGGAAGCCCACCUCAAGAUAAGUAUUCUCAUCAUGUAAAUGAGUAAGGUCACGGGAAGACUACCCGUUUGAUAGGCAUUAAGUGUAAAUGUAGUAAUAUAUGAGCUGAGAUGUCCUA
rnacentral:rRNA from 1 species